GAUAAAAAAAACAAAAAUAAAAGGAAUUAAAAUGAAUAAAAAUCAAGUACGAAAAUGCGGGGGGAAAUAAAAUGAACGCAUUCAAAUAAUAUGUGAGAAAUAAAGUUCUGUGGAACAGACAGUCGCGAAUCAAAUCUCGUAGUAAAGAGUACCCGGAUGAAAAGGCUCAGACAGAUCAAAAUGCGACCUCCCAAAGACGUG
rnacentral:lncRNA from 1 species